UAUCUGAAGGGGAUGUCACAGAAGGGCACAGCACCACCCAUGAAGUACAGAGGGUCCCCAAGAAGAUGUUGUGAUUUUCCAACUUUACUACAGUGUGAAAAUCAUGCAUAUUCAGUAGAAUCUGAACUUCAGAGUUGGAGUUUUGCUCUUUCCCAGGCUAGUGAGAUUUGGUUCGAUACUCUCUUGUAAUGCUGGGCAGCGGCAUCCAGCUGUGGCUCCCAGUCAGUCACGGGCUCACAAAGGAAACAGCAGAUACGCUACAGUGAACAGUGUUGCUCGUCUAUGAUGCAAAAAGACCCUGGAAGGAACUGUGGGGAAGCUUGACAUUGGGCAUUAGAUGAUCACAGUCAAUUCUUGGUACUGGGCUGGUAGGCCCGGGGAUUCUAUAUUAAACAAGACAGACCUCGUCCUUCCCUCUUGGACUUCCAUUCAUUCGAGUGGGAACGUUGGACAAAUCCAUGAAACCUGCCCUGGGAAGCAAACCCGAGGCCACCGUGCCCUACCUCCAGAUGGUGAUGGCCAGCGUGCACAGCACCCCCGUGAAGGACGGGAAGAAGAGCAGGAGGAUGAAGACGGUGAUCAUCUGGGAGGCCCGCC